rnacentral:lncRNA from 1 species
GCAAAUCCUCCAUUUUCUCAGCUUUCAAACAGCUUCAGCGGAACCCUUCCACUUUCUCCUUCUCCUUCUUCAUCUCUCUCCGACCUUGCGAGAGCCGAGCGACCACCCUUCUCUCUCCGACCAUGUUCCGACGAGCGUCCACCCUUUUGGCCCGUCCUUUUCUCUCUGCAAGGACCAGAUCCUUCUCCACCGAUCUGCCGGCGGCUGGUUCUAACCAAGAUGCCUUUGUCUCCGCCUGGAAGAAAGUCAUCCCCAAUAUUGAUCCUCCUAAAACUCC